AGCCAGACAAGUUGAGGCUGUUAUCUUGCCGCGAAACGCAUUCCCUGGUUCCCCAGUCACCACAUCACAGUCCCACCCUUUUCUCUCCCUAGUCGAGUAGCACCUGCCACCACACCUACAAUGUCUUCAAUCUCAGCCGUCCGGUCUCCACCGCGGCCUCCGUCCUCACCCGUCGGAAAAUCUUCAACCCCGAUACGUCGUUUCGUGCUAAACUUCCCUUCUAUGCGCCAGAGACGCCGCGGACCCCAAUCUCAUCUUCUUCCUGAAGCGGAGAAGUUUUCCGAUUCAGGUGCAGGCGGUGGAAGCAUUCUUAUCGAGCGAAGAAGUGUUGUGUUUUCAUCGGUUGGCAUGGUGGCUGCAGCUUUCUGUAAUGCUUCAAAGGACGUAAUUGCCCUCGCGUCUCAGUUUACUGACAUGCCAGCACUUAGGGGGAAGGACUAUGGCAAGUCGAAAAUGAGUUAUCCGGACUAUACGGAAACUGAAUCAGGUCUUCAGUACAAGGACUUGCGAGUAGGAGAUGGCCCCAAACCGAAGGUGGGAGAGACCGUUGUGGUUGAUUGGGAUGGAUACACCAUAGGAUAUUAUGGACGUAUCUUUGAAGCUCGAAAUAAAACAAAGGGCGGUUCAUUUGAGGGUGAUGACAAGGCCUUUUUCAAAUUCAGGGUAGGAUCUCAAGAGGUAAUACCAGCUUUUGAGGAAUCCAUUACAGGCAUGGCUCUUGGAGGCAUUAGAAGUGAUGCAGGAUCAUAGUGCCCCCGGAAUUGGGAUAUCCAGACAAUGACUACAACAAGAGUGGCCCAAGGCCGACAACAUUUUCGGGCCAACGAGCCUUGGAUUUCGUGCUGAGGAACCAAGGGCUGAUCGACAAGACUCUUCUGUUCGAUAUUGAGCUCAUCAAGAUCAUACCAAACUGAUCUCCUUUCAAAUUCAACGUUUCUCACAGGAAAUCGAUUAGCUGUUUAACAAAUACGGCUUAUUUAUCGUAGAGUUUCUUAUUCCGGAUGCCAGAAAUAUCGAUUAGCUGAGAAAGUUGACGGAUUACCAUAAUACCAUCAGAUUUGAAGUAGAAACUUCAUUUCUGCGAAGUCAAAGAGUUCACAAUUAUUUGAUAAGCUUUUUGUAAAAUUAACUUUUCAUGCAGUAUAUCUGUAUAGUGGUGGAUUACAGUGUACAAUUUAAGCUGGAUUUGUGCAUUAAUUU